rnacentral:rRNA from 1 species
AUUGAACGCUGGCGGCAUGCCUUACACAUGCAAGUCGAACGGCAGCAUGAUCUAGCUUGCUAGAUUGAUGGCGAGUGGCGAACGGGUGAGUAAUACAUCGGAACGUGCCCUGUAGUGGGGGAUAACUAGUCGAAAGAUGAGCUAAUACCGCAUACUACCUGAGGGUGAAAGUGGGGGACCGCAAGGCCUCAUGCUAUAGGAGCGGCCGAUGUCUGAUUAGCUAGUUGGUGAGGUAAAGGCUCACCAAGGCGACGAUCAGUAGCUGGUCUGAGAGGACGAUCAGCCACACUGGGACUGAGACACGGCCCAGACUCCUACGGGAGGCAGCAGUGGGGAAUUUUGGACAAUGGGCGAAAGCCUGAUCCAGCAAUGCCGCGUGUGUGAAGAAGGCCUUCGGGUUGUAAAGCACUGUUGUCCGGAAAGAAAUGGAUCUGGUUAAUACCUGGGGUCGAUGACGGUACCGGAAGAAUAAGGACCGGCUAACUACGUG